GGGAUGACGUCAAGUCAUCAUGGCCCUUACGGCCAGGGCUACACACGUGCUACAAUGGCGCGUACAGAGGGCUGCAAGCUAGCGAUAGUGAGCGAAUCCCAAAAAGCGCGUCGUAGUCCGGAUUGGAGUCUGCAACUCGACUCCAUGAAGUCGGAAUCGCUAGUAAUCGCAAAUCAGAAUGUUGCGGUGAAUACGUUCCCGGGCCUUGUACACACCGCCCGUCACACCAUGGGAGUGGGUUGCACCAGAAGUAGAUAGCUUAACCUUCGGGAGGGCGUUUACCACGGUGUGA
rnacentral:rRNA from 1 species